rnacentral:rRNA from 1 species
UACGAAGGGUGCAAGCGUUACUCGGAAUUACUGGGCGUAAAGCGCACGUAGGCGGCGCCGUAAGUCAGGGGUGAAAUCCCGGAGCUCAACUCCGGAACUGCCUUUGAAACUGCGGUGCUAGAAUCCUGGAGAGGCGAGUGGAAUUCCGAGUGUAGAGGUGAAAUUCGUAGAUAUUCGGAAGAACACCAGUGGCGAAGGCGACUCGCUGGACAGGUAUUGACGCUGAGGUGCGAAAGCGUGGGGAGCAAACAGG